rnacentral:rRNA from 1 species
UAGGGAAUCUUCGGCAAUGGACGGAAGUCUGACCGAGCAACGCCGCGUGAGUGAAGAAGGUUUUCGGAUCGUAAAGCUCUGUUGUAAGAGAAGAACGAGUGUGAGAGUGGAAAGUUCACACUGUGGCGGUAACUUACCAGAAAGGGACGGCUAACUACGUGCCAGCAGCCGCGGUAAUACGUAGGUCCCGAGCGUUAUCCGGAUUUAUUGGGCGUAAAGCGAGCGCAGGCGGUUAGAUAAGUCUGAAGUUAAAGGCUGUGGCUUAACCAUAGUACGCUUUGGAAACUGUUUAACUUGAGUGCAGAAGGGGAGAGUGGAAUUCCAUGUGUAGCGGUGAAAUGCGUAGAUAUAUGGAGGAACACCGGUGGCGAAAGCGGCUCUCUGGUCUGUAACUGACGCUGAGGCUCGAAAGCGUGGGGAGCAAACAGGAUUAGAUACCCUGGUAGUCCACGCCGUAAACGAUGAGUGCUAGGUGUUGGGUCCUUUCCGGGGCUCAGUGCCGCAGCUAACGCAUUAAGCACUCCGCCUGGGGAGUACGACCGCAAGGUUG